rnacentral:rRNA from 1 species
UACAGGACGAACGCUGGCGGCGUGCUUCAUACAUGCAAGUCGAACGAUAAGGUCCUUCGGGAAUACAUAAGUGGCGGACGGGUGAGUAAUAUGUAGAGAAUCUGCCCUGAAGAGGGGGACAACAGAGGGAAACUUCUGCUAAUACCCCAUAUGCGCGUAGUUGAGAUACUAUUCGUGAAAGAUUUAUCGCUUCAGGAUGAGUCUGCAUCUGAUUAGCUAGUUGGGGGUGUAAUGGACCACCAAGGCGACGAUCAGUAGCUGGUUUGAGAGGAUGAUCAGCCACAAUGGGACUGAGACACGGCCCAUACUCCUACGGGAGGCAGCAGUAGGGAAUUUUGCGCAAUGGGCGAAAGCCUGACGCAGCAACGCCCGCGUGAUCGCAGACGGCCUUCGGGUUGUAAAGAUCUGUCAGCAGGGACGAACAAUGACUGUACCUGCAGAGGAAGCACCGGCUAACUCCGUGCCAGCCGCCGC